rnacentral:piRNA from 1 species
UAAGUUUAAAUUAUGGAUGUGGUAUGG